UACGUAGGGGGCAAGCGUUGUCCGGAAUCAUUGGGCGUAAAGAGCGUGUAGGCGGCUUGGUAAGUCCGCUGUGAAAGUCCAGGGCUCAACCCUGGAAAGCCGGUGGAAACUGUCAAGCUUGAGUCCGGAAGAGGCGAGUGGAAUUCCUGGUGUAGCGGUGAAAUGCGUAGAUAUCGGGAGGAACACCAGUGGCGAAGGCGAUCAUCUGGGACUAACCUGACGCUGAGGAGCGAAAGCCAGGGGAGCAAACGAG
rnacentral:rRNA from 1 species